rnacentral:lncRNA from 1 species
CAUAUAUGUGAAGAUCAUUAUUGGACAAAUAGGAUUAGAUAAGAGACUCGAAGCAUGAGAAUAGCCUAGAGUUUCUUGAGACAUUGGGGGAAAGGAGACAACAUAGAAUUUGAGCAUCACACCAAGUUACAUCCCACACACAAUAUGAUAUUAAUCUUCAACCUUACAUAGUUGUUAAAAAAACAAUCAAAACAGAAAACAAGAGUAACAUAUAACAUUAUUUCAAGUACAUGACAUUACAAGUAAAAUCCAUAAGUUUCCCGGUAAAUACUAAGUAAUUAAAUAUGCAAUAAACAAUUCUCAUUAUAACAACAAAAUCAUGAUAAGCCAAUUCAUUUUCUUCCUCUCAUCAGACAACUUGAACUUCAACUUCUCAAUGUUUUUACUGCCCAUUUAAGCUUGUUGAACGAGUGUUGUUUCAGAAAAUCCAUGUCAAGCAGACACCAUUUGCAAAUUAGUUGCUUCAAGCUAAUCAUACCAGAUGAUAACUUGGAGUUGGCUACAUCAGGUGAAUCUCUUUGAUGACAUGCGUCCUGCUGCCCUACGUCAUCCUGACCUACAUCCCGCUGUCAUUGUGUUUAAGCAUCGUCAUCUAGUAGU